AGCAGCCGCGGUAAUUCCAGCUCCAAUAGCGUAUAUUAAAGUUGUUGCAGUUAAAAGCUCGUAGUUGAAUUUCGAGAUCAAAUUGUUGGUCGUGCCUUGGUACGCACUGGCAUUAUUGGUUUCUCCCUUCUGACGAACCAUGAUGUCAUUAAUUUGGUGUCUUGGGGAAUCAGGACUGUUACUUUGAAAAAUUGAGUGUUUAAAGCAGGCUCACGCUUGAAUACAUUAGCAUGGAAUAAUGAAAUAGGACGUUUGAUUCUAUUUUGUUGGUUUCUAGGAUCGACGUAAUGAUUAAUAGGGAUAGUUGGGGGCAUUAGUAUUCAAUUGUCAGAGGUGAAAUUCUUGGAUUUAUUGAAGACUAACUACUGCGAAAGCAUUUGCCAAGGAUGUUUUCAUUAAUCAAGAACGAAAGUUAGGGGAUCGAAGACGAUCAGAUACCGUCGUAGUCUUAACCAUAAACUAUGCCGACUAGGGAUCGGAUGAUGUUAAUUUUUAAUGACUCAUUC
rnacentral:misc_RNA from 1 species